AAAAAAAACAGCCUUUAUUUUACCCGCUCUCCUUCACCAUUUAUACACUCGCUCAGCUCAGCUUCUCUGUAUCCAAAGUCUCAAAACCAAAACGCCAACCCCCUCUCUCUCCCUCUCUAUCCCCUUAUAUACAAAAUCUUGCUGUUUCUCUUUGCUGAGGGUCGACCAUGGUGAAGGACGUGACAGAACAAGGAUCAUUCCCAGCGAAGGACUACCAUGACCCACCAC
rnacentral:misc_RNA from 1 species